rnacentral:rRNA from 1 species
UUGGUGGGGUGAUGGCCUACCAAGGCGACGACGGGUAGCCGGCCUGAGAGGGUGUCCGGCCACACUGGGACUGAGAUACGGCCCAGACUCCUACGGGAGGCAGCAGUGGGGAAUAUUGCACAAUGGGCGCAAGCCUGAUGCAGCGACGCCGCGUGGGGGAUGACGGCCUUCGGGUUGUAAACCUCUUUCACCAUCGGCGAAGCCGGUAGCUUUUGUUGUCGGUGACGGUAGGUGGAGAAGAAGCACCGGCCAACUACGUGCCAGCAGCCGCGGUAGUACGUAGGGUGCGAGCGUUGUCCGGAAUUACUGGGCGUAAAGAGCUCGUAGGUGGUUUGUCGCGUUGUCCGUGAAAUUCCCUGGCUUAACUGGGGGCGUGCGGGCGAUACGGGCAGACUGGAGUACUGCAGGGGAGACUGGAAUUCCUGGUGUAGCGGUGGAAUGCGCAGAUAUCAGGAGGAACACCGGUGGCGAAGGCGGGUCUCUGGGCAGUAACUGACGCUGAGGAGCGAAAGCGUGGGGAGCGAACAGGAUUAGAUACCCUGGUAGUCCACGCCGUAAACGGUGGGUACUAGGUGUGGGUUUCCUUCCUUGGGAUCCGUGCCGUAGCUAACGCAUUAAGUACCCCGCCUGGGGAGUACGGGCGGCCUAUCAGCUUGUUGGUGGGGUGAUGGCCUA